CAUCUACUCAAUGACAUUUAAGGUGUGCCUUGAAGUAAGCCUUCCAACUUCUCUGUUUAAGCAGGACAUAGAAAGAUGCCCAUUUACAAAAGGAUGUGGAGAUAAUUUACAAAAGGAUGCAGAGAUACUUCAGAAUGUCACCAGGGGAAACAUCCAUCCCAGCCAGGGGCACUGCCCAAAUAAAGGUUGUAGAUGGGAAUUCAAGACCAAUGCUUCUGUGGUUUUACUGUGGAUUCCAGCAGAAGAAAUAUGUAGGUUAUCUUGGAAAGGUUAAUGGGGAAGUAAUAACUACUGAGACAGGACAAACCCCC
rnacentral:lncRNA from 12 species